CCAGUCUUGCUCCAUUCUUCUUCUUCCUUCUCCUCUUCCAUGCUUGGCCUUGAUCCUUGGAUUCUCCAAGGUCAUCUUGGUUGUACCUGAGUGUAUGCAAGGUCCAUGCAUGAGGUAGUAGCCGUGUCUCAUAUGCAGAAAGUGACGGUUCGAAGAGGAGUGAAUUCACCUUGUGUCCAAUGGCGCAUAGUCGAGGUCUCAUCUUAUGUGUCCUUAGGGCUUGGGGAGUAGUCAGAGUGUACAUGGGGAUGAACGUGGGAUGCUCCGCAUCAUCUCCCCCCCCCCUUGUGAAAGAUCUGACCUCGGAUCGUGAUCCUCAUCACCAUGGAAACUGUUGUCGUGGACGGACUUGUAGUUGGACGAAGUUGAAGGCAUUGCACAAUCCAAGUACUCCCAGGUGUCUCCGGUAUGUGGUACAUGCAAAAUGAGCAAACACAAGCGACACUCGGAAAUACAAUGGUUAGCGCACACAAAAUGUCCAUCAUGUAAGAAUGAGUCCGUGCGGCAAGAUAUUGCAUGACAAAGCGCAUGAAGCUUAUCAAGAUGAUAUAGAAUGAUAUGCAAAGCAUUCAUGGGAGAAUUAGCAUGGUGCACAAAGCGACAAAUUCUACCAUUGUGCAAAAUGAUGUCAUAGAGAGACGGUUCAUCAAUAGCACGAAUAUGGCAAUGGAUGCUCAAUAUGUGUAAGCUAUCAUGCAAUUGAUGGUGGACAAUAUGAUCAUUAUGUAUGAAUAUGCCAUCAUGGAAGAUCACAACAAAUUUGCUAAGGAAAUGCACAAGCUCAUAUAUCAUGGAUGACAUGGGACUACAAGAUGCAACAAGGCAAUCAUAAUGUGAGUCAAUCCAUGCAUAGUGUGCAAACUUGUGGUGACUAUGAUAUGUCCAUCGAGCAUGACAUAUAUGAGCACAAUCAAUACAUAUGGAGGUGUUGGUGUACCAAAGCUCGAUGUCGAGGCAUGGGUGGAAGGCCGAAGGUGCAUCCAAUAAGUGCGAGCACUCCUCAAUGUGAAGGUCCAUGUAGCCAAUCUCCAAUGUCGUGCCUCCGUUCACGAGAUGUAUCAUGUAGACAACAAGAAGGAAACAACAAUGAAAGAGUGACCCAUCCAAUAUGCGUAUUUGAGGAUGGCUCAAAGAGAAGGAGUUCACCUUUAAGAGUGUCACAAGGAUGAUGUAGUUGCGCAUCUUGUAUGCCUUCACAUAACCAAUAUGCCGCGUGAUGGUACCGCCUUGUGAAUCCUUCAAAAUGAAAGAACAUGACAAACACUCGGAAAAACAAAUGAGGUUAGCGGAAGUGCAAAACCUAUCAUUCGUGUGGUAAGAUACCCAACAAGUGUAUGCAUCAUGCUCAUCAUAAGAAUGGACAAGGGAGCAUUUCAUAGUAUGAAGGCUUAUGAUGUAAGAACAACCAAAUACAAGAGGCUCAAUCAAACAAUCAUGCAUCACAAGUAAAGUGUCCAAGUCUCCAAGAUCAAUAAGCAUAGCAAGUUGGCACUCAAUACAAGGUGAUAUGAGAGAUGCAACUAAUGGAGACAAGAGGCAAUGAUUAUGACAAAUCAAGUGAGAGGCAUGAGCAUAUGUGUCAUCAACCCAAGAAAGCAAGUGAUAGUGGAACAUGGGUGAUGCAACCAAGCAAGCAAUCAUAGCAAUCACGUCAAGCAAGCUAGUAGUGCGAAGAUGCAACAUACUAGAAGGAAUCAUGGCAAGCAUGUCAUGUGUGCAAAUAGUGGGCAUGAAUAAUGGACACGACAUAGCACAAACAUGAAAGCAACAUAUGAGCAAAAUAUCAUCAAUGUAUUGGCGAGAGACCAUAUGUGAAUAGCAAUGGGGCAUCAUGACUCUCCCAACACAACAAUCAACAAUAGCAUGGGGCACAUGAUAAACAUGGCAAAAGCAACAAGGAUCUCCACCAAGCAUGCAAAUACACAUAGAAGUAUAAUAAUGGUGAAUCAUGGGUAGAUGCAAGCAAGGGUCACAAUUGCAUGGCAAAUGCAUAGAAGCAAGUAUAACAUGCAAAGUGAACACGGGAAAAUGAGCAUAAGGUGACAAGUGGUAAAUAGCCCAUAGCCGUGUGAGAGCCAAGUAAAAGAGAUGCGCGUAGUCCUUGCGCGAAGGGAACGGUGGUAAGGAUAGUCCACGGGAUCCCAAGUCAUCGUUGCUCUCAAGAGCUCGUUUCGUCAACUCAUGGGAUUGUGAGGUUGACGAGUGUUCAUAAGUACCUACACAAAACAAAGACAAAGAGAAAAUUGUGUGUGCAUGGUAUAUGUACACAUCAUCCAUCAUGAUGCGCACGUGCAUGUGUCAGUUAGUACUAAAUAGCCAAUGCUCAAAUAAAUGAGAUGUGUGAUAUAGAAACAUGUCAUCCACCAUGAGAGGUUUGUUGUUAUGUAUCGCAUAAUGGAGACUCAAAUUGUGUAAUGCAUCAUGAGAAAUAUCUAGAGCAUUGUUAUUCAUGGAAUGCAUAUGGUGCAAGCAAUCAUGGGAAUCAUGCAAAGUAUGAAAUGCAUCAAGGUCUCCUAAUAUGUAUGAGGAAACUAUGGGGGUCUCCUCAUGAGCAUGAGUAGCAACAUCACAUGGAGAAUAUUGACAACAUCCAAAACAAUGCAUAUUCGAAACAAUGUGAUCAUGGCAUGACAUAGUAGAUGAAUUGCACAAAUCAUGUAAAGGAAGCAUGGCAAUAUCAUCACAAGAGAAGCAAAAUCCAAUUACCAUCAUCUCGUCAUCUAUGCCAUAAGUGCAAAUGGGAUUGAUCUUAAUGGGGCAUGCAUAGUUACUAUGUUGAGAUUGAAAUGAAGCAAUAUGGGAGAUCUCACUCAUAGCAUAUGACAAGUUCAAUGGAUUGUCAAGCAUAAUGUGACCAAUAGAAUUUUCACAAGUUAUCCUAUGGAGCAUAGCAUCACAACUAGGCAACUCAACAUGCUCAUCAUCAUAUUCAUCAUAAAUAGGUAAGUCAAGACAUGAAGAAGUUUCACUAGCAUGAAGCAUGGAAAUAGGUGGGUCAACAUCAUGGGAGCAAUCAAUGUCAAGAGAGUCCACUAGUGGGACAAGAGAAGCACCAUCACCUAUGUUACCUUUGGAGCAUCGCUCAUGUGUUGUAGGUGAGGUGUUGAAGAUCAAGUCAUGGUCAUCGUCAUCUUGAUGGAACCAUGUAGGGGGUGCAUCAUCAUCCACCAUGGCCAUCGUCGUGUUCAAAGGGAGGAUGUAGUCAUCGCAAAUCGGCGCGUCAUCAUAUAUGGGUCCUAGCACCAAAGAAGAAAACACAAGAGAGGUAGAGGUUAAGUUGUUAGAAAGCGAAAUGGCCUCAUAUGCCGUGUCAACUACCUCACUCUCUAAGUGUUGUGGCUCACUCACUCCCUCAAGGAUGCUCUCACUCAUAUGGUUGGUGGAGUCACUCAAAUGGCGCUCAACCUCACAUAGGAUGUGUGGCAUGCUCUCAUGUGUGGGGCUAGUGGUGGUCACACUCAUCCUCUCAUAGGAAAUGCUCUCAAUGUCACUAUGGUGGAGUCACUCAUGUCACUCAUGGGGUGGUGGCUCUCCUCACAUGGCACUUGGUACAUUUCUUCAUAUGUGGGUGUCAGAGAGAUGUUGGUGCAAAUGUCUCCAUGCGCGGUCGCGUAGCUUGACUCGGAGGAGGAGUCCAAUGUGGGCACCGUCUUCAUGUUGUUGAAGAGGUUCGCACUCAUACUCAUGGUCGAAGGGGAUGGCCCUUGCUCGACCGUCUUGUCGCCGUCUUGGUCUUGGAGGCCCAUAUGAUGUGGCACCUCGUAGCUCGUCUCCAUGACCGAAGGGAAUUUCCCAUGCUCGGCCAUCUUCCUUGGGGGGCUUCCGAAGAUGGAAGUGUCACCCUCACUUGUAGGUAGUCACCCUGGACUUGAUGAAGUCGUUGUAGGCGUACUUGUGGGAAGUAGGCGAAGAUGCCGUACGUCCAUAGGCGAAGAUGCCUUGAGAACACUUGGCGAAGAUGCCGAAGUGGUUGAUGUAGCCGUAGCGCCGUCUUGGUGGUAGUCAUCUCGCGGUCUUCUUUUAUGCUCAUGAAGCUUCGACUUGGCGUGUUGGGACUUGUGCAUUUGCGCUUGUGGAGCAUCUUCAUGAUGAUGGUGUCGUUGUCGCGCUUGAGCUCGAAGGCGUUCGUCGUCGUCGUGCACAUGAUGCUUGGAGAUGACUUGCCCUUCAUGACGAUGUGGAUCACGAACGUGAUGGUGGUCGCCAUGUCGAUGUUGACUUGGACGACUUGCGCUUGCAUCUUGUUUGUGCUCCGAAGAUGUUCGACUUGGUCGCCACCGCCUUGAAGAUGACGAAGGGGAAGUAGACUUGAUCAAGGCUCUAAUCUCCUCCAUCCUUGCAUCUUGCUCCUCUUUAUGUGCGGCAAGCUUCUUGUCGAAGUAGUCCCUUCUCCUUGCUUCGGAGUGAUGAAUGUCGAUGGAGAUGUUCUCGAUGCGCUCUCGCAAUCUUGAUUGUGUGCCUUGCACUUGUCGUUGUAGAUCGAAGAUAGACGCUUUGGUGAUGUAAUUGUUCACGCCGUCGUUGUUGUCGAGGACCGGAGAGGGAAUGCCUUGCCUAUCCAUCACAAGACUCGAGCAAAUAUGAGUGGGAGAAAGAGAAGAACUUAUACCAAUGUACCUUGACCGAUGUUGACGAUGAAUCAAGUUCACUCAAAUGUGGACAAUGAAAUAGCACUAUUGGUACCAAUCCUUGUCGGUUCUCACACCUACACAAGUAAAGCUUAUAGUGGAGCUCGGUGAGGAUAGUGGCACAAAAAUUUAAUGCAAAAUGUUAGCAAGAGUCAAUAAUGUUGAAAGAGAUUCACAAAUUCGCAAGUGAAACAAGUAGACCAAUAGCAAUAUGGAAGGCACAUGGAAACGCACACACGGAUAGAUAAAUGGGGUCGUGCAACCAAGGAAUGAGCACAAAAAGUGGAAUCCACGGAAAACGCUCGUGUUGCACAACUCAAGAGAGACGCUAGCACGAUUGCUCAAUAGGCGGAUACGACACUCGUGCACAACCUAUAAGAUGCCAAAUGGAUAAACUUCUAUCCCAAGUAUGCUAUGUAUGUAUGGUUCCCGGUGUUUCUCUCAAGAUGAUCCAAGAUGAUCGGAUAUGACAAUCUUAUAUGCAAUGUGGUAUGAUGCUAUGGCACUUGCUUACAAGCUUCUUUGCUCUCUUUCUCUUUUGCUUAAAAGCUUUAUUUCUUUUUUCUUUUUUUUCUAUGGCCACUUUGCACAAUCCACAAACCAAGAUAGCAAUUGUGUAUAUGCGGGAACAAACUUGUGACACAAGAUAUGAUAGCAAUAUAUGCACCACGAUGAUAUGGUAUGUAUGCUUAUGGUAAGUAUGAUCACUAAUGUGCACAAGUAACGUUGCCGGCAAUACUCAAACGGCUAGUCUCGAUAGGCAAGCGACGCAAAAGUAAGGCUAGGGGUUAACAAUGCAAUAGCAAGGGAAUAUACAAUGGAGGGAUACCAUGAUACCAAGAUGAUAUGGAGGUUACCGUCCGACGAUGAUGAGUAGUGGUGUUCUUGAUGUAGAUACCAAGAUGAUGGAGACUCGUCCCUAAGUAGCCGAAACACCUUAGGAAACGGAAAAACCGCGAACUCAAAAUCUCAAAUGACAAAUGUCAAAUGGUGAUAGCGGAAAUGCGGUGGUGGUUUGCACUUGGCAAUGCGGAAGUGGAAUGCUGGGCUAUACACGAGUCGGAGUUGAAGUUGCCGUCCCUAAGUAGCCGAAACACCUUAGGAGACACAAGCCACAACUCAAACAAAAUUGGGUUAAGUUGGGGUGGAAUUGUAUGGUGGGCAAGGUUAUGCGGAAGUGGUGGUGGUGGUUGAUGAAGAAGCAAUUGUCCCUAAGUAGCCGAAACACCUUAGGAGACUCUAAUCACAACUCAAACAACCACAUAUGCAAUGAGGAACAAAAUGGGUUAGGUUGCGGAAGUCGGUGGUGGUAAUGCGGAUGAUAUGGUGGAGGGCCUAGGCAAACUUGCCAAAUUUCAGAAAAUAUGAUGGAGUCAAAUGAUGUUGGUGGUAUUUUUGUGGGAUGGGGGAUGUCAAUAGAUUCAAAACGAGCUAAAGAACGUCAAAAUCGGAGUUUGGAUGAAUUAGUUACGGCCGAAACAAAAAUCUGUCCGUGUCAGUUUCAGGGUUAACCGGACAUCCGGGAGGAGGUCCGGAUGAUCCGGGCUAGGUCCGGAUGAUCCGGGUGUACAUCCGGAUGAUCCAGGUUCGUCAGCUCCGGUUCUGUUUUCUGGGUGCGUGGGGUAUCCGGACGUCCGGGAGAGGGUCCAGCUGAUCCGGGAGGUGUCCGGAUGAUCCGGGGGAAGGUCCGGAUGAUCCGGGCAGGUCAAACUGCUCGGGAUUUCCUCUCGGGGACGAAUUUUUGGGCGGAAAUGGAUGAUUUUCGGGGCAAAAUUUGAUGGAUUUCGUGGAUGGAAGGUGGGGAAACUUGGGGAAAUGCUAGAUCCACUUGAAACCAAGCAAAUCCACGGAUCAUAAUCAACAAAACAUCAUCAAACCAACAAAUCACAAAAAAAUUUGGGGCUAUUUUUGGUGGGGAUUUUCGGAUUUAGGACGAAAACAACAAAAUCAAGCUAGAAAAAGAGGGGUAGGGGCUCCAAAAACGUGAUCAACGUGGCUCAUGAUACCAUAUGAUGUAGGGUGGAACCCUAUAGCGUCGAUCUUUCACGUUUGGAGUGGAUCCUACGGGGAAUCAUGAAGAACACGCGGAAGCACAAAGGGAAACUCGGGGGAAAACAAGAGGGAAUCACUCAACCAACAAGGAAUCGAUCACACAAGUGCUAGAUCAUCGAAUACAUAGAGUAACAUAUGAUCCACAAUCAACAAAGGGAAAGGAUACAACGGAAUCGUUCUUCUCCAAGAGGAGGCUUUGAUGUUCUUCCCUAAAGAGGGGUCUUGAAUCCGCUCGGGGAUCUUCUCCGGAGAGGUCCUGAUCUCCGAGGAGAAGUAUCCAAGUGGAUGAGCAAAGGCUCUCACACAAAUAUGAGCUAAUCCAAUGCUGAGUCUCAAAGUGAGGAGGAGGAGUCCUAUAUAUAGGCUAGGGGGCGAAGGGGUACAUGGGCUCAGCCCAAGUCGCGCACACAGGCGGGGUCCGGAUGAUCCGGAUGGUGGCUCGGAUGAUCUGGGUGUCGGGGGUCCGGAUGAUCCGGGUUACCGUACGGAUGAUCCGGCUUCGUCGAGCAGCUUCGGGUGUCUUCGGGCUCGUUAGUCGGAUCGUCCGGGUGGUCGUCCGGAUCGUCCGGGCUCGGUCCGGAUCGUCCGGUUGGGUGUCCGGAUGAUCCGGGCAAGUCCAGUCUUGCUCCAUUCUUCUUCUUCCUUCUCCUCUUCCAUGCUUGGCCUUGAUCCUUGGAUUCUCCAUGGUCAUCUUGGUUGUACCUGAGUGUAUGCAAGGUCCGUGCAUGAGGUAGUAGCCGUGUCUCAUAUGCGUAAAGUGACGGUUCGAAGAGGAGUGAAUUCACCUUGUGUCCAAUGGCGCAUAGUCGAGGUCUCAUCUCAUGUGUCCUU
rnacentral:lncRNA from 1 species